UACGGAGGGUGCAAGCGUUAUCCGGAUUCACUGGGUUUAAAGGGUGCGUAGGAGGGCAGGUAAGUCAGUGGUGAAAUCUCCAAGCUUAACUUGGAAACUGCCGUUGAUACUAUCUGUCUUGAAUACCGUGGAGGUGAGCCGGAAUAUGUCAUGGUAGCGGUGAAAUGCUUAGAUAUGACAUAGAACACCAAUUGCGAAGGCAGCUCGCUACACGAAUAUUGACUCUGAGGCACGAAAGUCGUGGGGAUCAAACAGGA
rnacentral:rRNA from 1 species